CUGGGAUUACAGACGUGCGCUACCACGGCUGGCUAAUUUUGUUUUGUAUUUUUAGUAGAGACGGGGUUUUAUAAUGUUGGCCAGGUUGGUCUCAAGCUCCUGACCUCAAGCGAUCCACCUGCCUAGCCUCCCAAAGUGCCGGGAUUACAGGAGUGAGCCACUGCGCCUGGCCAGGUUUUAUUUUUAAUUUUUAAUUUUUGGAAGCACAGAGCAUACAGAUUCACUUACACAAGCAACAUUUUUUCCUGGAAGUUAAGAAAAGGAGACAACAAACGUAGUUUAGGAAGUGCUGGAUUUGGAGGGAAUUGUUCCUGCCUGGAGGUGAGGGAACCAUCAAUGGCCUUGUCUGAGAUGCACGCCUUGGUGCACAACAAACUCCUCUGCCAUCGCUUAGUCCUUCAAAGCUGACAGUGCUUUUAGAGGAAUGAAUACUUUUGGACUGGAAAGUAGACCUGGAAAAAUGGCCGUUAGGUUUUCUGUUAACUUCAAACUCAUCGGGGAAAGUAGAUAUAACAAAUGUGUAGAGGUGCAGUAUUUUAAAAACUGAAUUUACGUUGAGGGGGAUGAGUAAAUAAAGUACGGAGGGCAUAAUAAUGUCCCUCCAAAGAUGUUCAUGUCCUA
rnacentral:lncRNA from 10 species